rnacentral:rRNA from 1 species
CUGAACGCUGGCGGCGUGGCUAAGACAUGCAAGUCGAACGGGUGUAGCAAUACACCAGUGGCGGACGGGUGAGUAAUGUAUCGCUAACGUACCCUACAGACGGGGAUAGCCAUCCGAAAGGAUGGGUAAUACCCGGUGACAUAAUCUGGUCGCAUGAUCGGAUUCUCAUAGGCCGCAAGGCGCUGUUGGAUCGGGCGAUAUUGCAUCAGCUAGUUGGUGAGGUAACGGCUCACCAAGGCAACGACGCAUAGCCGGACUGAGAGGUUGUCCGGCCACAUUGGGACUGAGACACUGCCCAGACUCCUACGGGGGGCUGCAGUAACGAAUCUUCCACAAUGCACGAAAGUGUGAUGGAGCGACGCCGCGUGUAGGAUGAAGUCCUUCGGGAUGUAAACUACUGUCAGGGGAAAGAAAGUUCUGAUCUACCCCAGAGGAAGGCACGGCUAACUCUGUGCCAGCAGCCGCGGUAAGACAGAGGUGCCGAGCGUUAGGCGGAAUCACUGGGCUUAAAGCGUGUGUAGGCGGACUGACAAGUACCUUGUGAAAUCCCACGGCUUAACCGUGGAACUGCUUGGUAUACUGUUGGUCUUGAGGCAUCUAGGGGCAACUGGAACAAACGGUGGAGCGGUGAAAUGCGUAGAUAUCGUUUGGAACGCCAAAGGUGAAAACAGGUUGCUGGGGAUGUUCUGACGCUGAGACACGAAAGCCAGGGGAGCAAACGGGAUUAGAUACCCCGGUAGUCCUGGCCCUAAACGAUGUCCACUAGACGAUAGCGACUCUCACGUUGUUAUCGUCGUAGCAAAAGUGUUAAGUGGACCGCCUGGGAAGUACGGUCGCAAGGCUAAAACUCAAAGAAAUUGACGGGGGCUCACACAAGCGGUGGAGCAUGUGGUUCAAUUCGAAGCAACGCGCAGAACCUUACCUGGGCUUGACAUGCUGUGUUCAGUCUAUGAAAGUAGAUGGCGUAGCAAUACGCGAACAGCACAGGUGCUGCAUGGCUGUCGUCAGCUCGUGUCGUGAGAUGUCGGGUUAAGUCCCUUAACGAGCGAAACCUUUGCCCUUAGUUACCAUCGGGUUAUGCCGGGGACUCUAAGGGGACUGCCGGUGUCAAACCGGAGGAAGGUGGAGAUGACGUCAAGUCCUCAUGGCCUUUAUGCCCAGGGCCACACACGUGCUACAAUGGCGUGCACAAAGCGAACCAAGAGCGCAAGCUGGAGGAAAUCGCAGAAAUCACGCCCCAGUUCAGAUAGGAGGCUGCAACCCGCCUCCUUGAAGUUGGAAUCGCUAGUAAUCGCGGAUCAGCUACGCCGCGGUGAAUGUGUUCCUGAGCCUUGUACACACCGCCCGUCAAGUCAUGGGAGCCGGUAAUAGCCGAAGUAGUCUCACUACAGAGAUUCCUACGCUAGGACCGGUGACUGGGACU